AACAAUGGCAGCUGCAUCACCUUCAUCAAUCUCCUUCUUUUCCUCCACAAUUUUCCUAUCCAAUCAAAACCCUUCUUCCUCAAACCUCCGUUUCCUCAAACCCCAUCCCAACCCUAGACUCCGAGCCUCCACCACCACCAUCCACUCCGAGCUCACCACUCUCCCAGUCCUCUCCUUCGAAGGAACCGAGGUCGGCUCCGCCACUCUCAACCUCAAGUCCGCCCACCUCCGACACCGCCCGCUCCGUCGUCCACCGCGGCAUCACCACCGACCUCACCAACCGCCGCCGCGGUACCGCCUCCACCCUCACCCGCGCGGAGGUCCGCGGUGGAGGGAGGAAGCCCUACCCACAGAAAAAAACCGGCGGCGCCCGCCGUGGUUCCCAGAGGACCCCCCUCCGGCCCGGCGGCGGUGUCAUCUUCGGGCCGAAGCCCAAAGACUGGUCUGUCAAGAUGAACAAGAAGGAGAAGAGACUCGCCCUCUCCACCGCCAUCUCCAGCGCGGCGGAGAACACCUUCGUGGUCGAGGAUUUCGAUGACAAGUUCGAGAAGCCGAAGACGAAGGAAUUCAUUGCAAUGCUGAAUAGAUUGGGCCUCGACCCGAAGAAGAAGGCCACUUUCUUGAUGACUCAAGUCUCGGACAACGUUAGACUGUCGGCCAGGAAUCUCGGCACGUUGAAAAUGCUGACGCCGAGGACUUUGAAUCUGUUCGAUAUUUUGGAUGCCGAGAAUUUGGUCCUCACGAAAGGAGCUUUGGAGUUCUUGAACGAUAGGUACGGGUUGGAGGACGAUGAAAUUUACGAGGAAGAGGGUGAUUUCGAAGAAGAAGAAGAAGAAGGUAACUAACUCCUUUGGGCUUUUUUUAUUUUAUGACGAAGAAUUUGAAUUUAUAUCUUUAAGUUCAUAAUACUUGUGAUCGAAUUUGUAUCUUGUGCUGCUGGAUUAGAAAUCGAGGGAUGUAGUUCUUGAAAAAAGCAGGGCUUUUGGUUUUGAAUAGAUUGUCUAACAAUGUAGGUUGAAAAGCCGAAUGCGGGUGUGACCGUACUUAUAACUAUAUUCACUUUAUUUGUGACGAUCGUGUUGAGCAAAUUGAUAUCUGAAAGUUCAGAAAACUUAUGAAGUGGGAAAAGAUUGGGAAAAUAUAAAAUAAAUUGACAGCUGAAAGUAAGAUUUAGUGCUUCCCGGAUUGAGACGAAAGUAUAAAUUGAAGGAGGCACUGAUCGUCAUGUUAAUGUAUUAAUCGUCGUUUUUCACUAGACAAAGUAUCGGCUUUAUAAUUGAUAUUCAACACACUUAAUAUAUAUAUAUAUAUCUUUAUUUUAUCAAAGACUUGAAAUGCCAGUAAUGUAAGAUAGAGCAGCUUAUAUUUUUACUGCAUGUCUCUGAUUGGUGUAUAUGUCGUUAGAACUGAACUUGGGGGGUUUCUGGUUAGGAAUCUAGAUUUUCGUGUUUCGAUGUUACGAAGGAUAAAUCGAUUGUUACCAAUUUGUAUUAUCAGAGAUGAGUUGUCAAUGGAAAUUAUGCAAAUAGUUUAAAGUGGAAUGAUUAUAAAAACGGCAGUUCACAAACUAGUAGUAACAGAUGGUAGAUCGGCACUGGUGGUUUCGUAGGAAUUGGCUCGAAUAUAUAUAUAUAUAUAUAUAUAUAUAUAUAUAUAUAUAUAUAUAUAUCGUUGAUUCUUAUUUAUAUCUCUUACAUUGUGAUCAGGAACUGAGGUUGAAGAAGCCCCUGAGUCGUCUGAGUGAUGCUACGCUGGUUGAUCGUUCAGUCGACAAUUAUCUCAAGUUCAUCCUUUUGCUUUUACCCUUUCAAUUGUAUGUCAUUUAAGUAUUUUGCAAUUAGUUAGUCGACAAUGUUUUGUAGGAUGCUUGAUGAUGCGGUGAUUCACACUACACUGUUUUCCUGGUAAAUUUUUAUGUUAAUCGAUCUAUAGAGAAAUUUUGUCUCCGUCUGAUUUAUCGUUUACUUAAUUUUUUAAACUCGACAUAAUGGUUGUGCUGAUUGAUUAAUGUGUUGUGUAUGAUCUUCAUAACUUACUUUUCGUAAUUCCAUUCUCCUUUAAAAAAAAGAAAAAGAAUUGUUCCCGCACGUAAUAACGAAUACAAAGAUGAGUCUAUAUUUUGCGAACAAACUCCCAGUCGGAAUAUCAGUUUCAUAAAAUGCAUUUAAUUUGUGUAGAAAAACACGAAUUAGUAAAGUGUAAUAAGUGUAAUAAGUGUUAAACCAGAACGGGAUUGGAACGACAUGAAUUAUUUAAUUAACUUAAUUGCUCUUCUCUGGACUAAGAAUACUACUGUCGAUCUUCUUAUUUGCUCGUCAAACAAUAUUGAUGCUACUGUUUGCGAGAAUAAUUCGGGAACAAAGUGGCGUUUUACUGGGUUCUACGGUGUAGCGAACCAAACUCGUAGGGAUCAAUCGUGGGCUGUAUUGCGCAAUUUUUCAGCCUCAGUGCUCGUUGCCAUGGCUUAGCUUGUAGGUGGAGAUUUCAACGUAAUUUUAAGCAACUCAGACAAAACUGGGGGAAAUACUCGUUCCAGUCGGGUAGAAGCAUUUAAGGAGGUGCUCGAUAAAUGUAAUUUGUCUGAUAUCGGUUUCUGUGGAGGUCCAUUCACAUGGUCUAACAACCAGAAAGUCAAUUAGACCGAUGUUGUGCCACAAGUUCAUGGAUCUCGUUGUUCCCAAAUGUCUGUGUUCAUCAUUUAGAGAGUAUUGGUUUGGGCCAUAAUGCACAAUUACUGAAGUUUCAACGAAUAACAGCUACGAACGGUUAUCGAGUGCAUCGACCGUUUUGUUUUGAGGCAUUUUGGAUUCGUAGAGAGGAAUGUGAAUCUAUUGUCCCAAAGUAGUGGUCUGACAUUGGUGAAACAGAUCCUUCUGUUGAGUUUAUUUUGAAAGUGGAGAGCUGUUGUCUUGAAUUAAUAAAAAAUGGAGUAACACUACUCUUCAAAAACUUAAGGAUCAAAUUGCUUUUAUUAAAGAUCGUCUCCGCAUUCUGCAAGAGGGCGUACGAGACUAGGGGAGGAAAGGCCGUUGAGGCUCAUUCUCUCCGAGGGGAACUUGAGAAAUUAUACGAAAAUGAAUAUACGUACUGGAGAUAAAAGAAGUCUGAAAGAAUUCAAUGCCUCCAAAUUAUCUUAACAAAGAAAUCACAAGUUGAUUUCUCCGCAAACCAAUUCCUAAUUACUAAACAAAAGCCAAAACACAAUAAUGUUUUUUAUAGAGUAUUCCCCUCUCUUUUUCAGUCCGACCACAAUCCUGAUGCCCCACCCCUUCUAAUCUCCAUGACCUCUUCACCAAGAUUAUAUUGAUCUGACAUGAGAUUAGACACGGCCAUGGGCCGGUUCGGGCCGGUUCACUCCGGUUCGCGGUUCACUUUUUCCGGAAUCGGAACCGGCCCGUACUACACACGGUUCGGCGGGCUGGGUCGGCCCGCCGGUUCGAUCCGGUUCCGGGCCGGCUUGGAAAUUUAUAUUUAUAUAAAUAUAUAUAUUUUUUUUAAAUACUUGAUGGAUAAAUAAAUUAAAAGAAUUACUUUUAAAUAGGAAAAAACAAAAGAAAAUAAAUAAAAGGACUUGAACUUAAUUUUAUAGGAAAAAAAAGGGGUGUGAGCGUAUUUAUAGGAAAAAUUGGGGGAAAAAUUCAAAAAAGAGCACAUAACGGGCGGUUCACCAGGCCGGUUCAGCUUUUUUCAGCUUUUUUUUUAAUUUCUUUUUUCAAAUUCGGGUGAACCGCCGGGCCGG
rnacentral:lncRNA from 1 species